UUAAGCGACUAAGCGUACACGGUGGAUGCCCUGGCAGUCAGAGGCGAUGAAGGACGUGCUAAUCUGCGAUAAGCGUCGGUGAGGUGAUAUGAACCGUUAUAACCGGCGAUUUCCGAAUGGGGAAACCCAGUGUGUUUCGACACACUAUCAUUAACUGAAUCCAUAGGUUAAUGAGGCGAACCGGGGGAACUGAAACAUCUAAGUACCCCGAGGAAAAGAAAUCAACCGAGAUUCCCCCAGUAGCGGCGAGCGAACGGGGAGGAGCCCAGAGCCUGAAUCAGUGUGUGUGUUAGUGGAAGCGUCUGGAAAGGCGUGCGAUACAGGGUGACAGCCCCGUACACAAAAAUGCACAUAUUGUGAGCUCGAUGAGUAGGGCGGGACACGUGGUAUCCUGUCUGAAUAUGGGGGGACCAUCCUCCAAGGCUAAAUACUCCUGACUGACCGAUAGUGAACCAGUACCGUGAGGGAAAGGCGAAAAGAACCCCGGCGAGGGGAGUGAAAAAGAACCUGAAACCGUGUACGUACAAGCAGUGGGAGCCUCUUAAUGGGGUGACUGCGUACCUUUUGUAUAAUGGGUCAGCGACUUAUAUUCUGUAGCAAGGUUAACCGAAUAGGGGAGCCGAAGGGAAACCGAGUCUUAACUGGGCGUUAAGUUGCAGGGUAUAGACCCGAAACCCGGUGAUCUAGCCAUGGGCAGGUUGAAGGUUGGGUAACACUAACUGGAGGACCGAACCGACUAAUGUUGAAAAAUUAGCGGAUGACUUGUGGCUGGGGGUGAAAGGCCAAUCAAACCGGGAGAUAGCUGGUUCUCCCCGAAAGCUAUUUAGGUAGCGCCUCGUGAAUUCAUCUCCGGGGGUAGAGCACUGUUUCGGCAAGGGGGUCAUCCCGACUUACCAACCCGAUGCAAACUGCGAAUACCGGAGAAUGUUAUCACGGGAGACACACGGCGGGUGCUAACGUCCGUCGUGAAGAGGGAAACAACCCAGACCGCCAGCUAAGGUCCCAAAGUCAUGGUUAAGUGGGAAACGAUGUGGGAAGGCCCAGACAGCCAGGAUGUUGGCUUAGAAGCAGCCAUCAUUUAAAGAAAGCGUAAUAGCUCACUGGUCGAGUCGGCCUGCGCGGAAGAUGUAACGGGGCUAAACCAUGCACCGAAGCUGCGGCAGCGACACUAUGUGUUGUUGGGUAGGGGAGCGUUCUGUAAGCCUGUGAAGGUGGCCUGUGAGGGUUGCUGGAGGUAUCAGAAGUGCGAAUGCUGACAUAAGUAACGAUAAAGCGGGUGAAAAGCCCGCUCGCCGGAAGACCAAGGGUUCCUGUCCAACGUUAAUCGGGGCAGGGUGAGUCGACCCCUAAGGCGAGGCCGAAAGGCGUAGUCGAUGGGAAACAGGUUAAUAUUCCUGUACUUGGUGUUACUGCGAAGGGGGGACGGAGAAGGCUAUGUUGGCCGGGCGACGGUUGUCCCGGUUUAAGCGUGUAGGCUGGUUUUCCAGGCAAAUCCGGAAAACCAAGGCUGAGGCGUGAUGACGAGGCACUACGGUGCUGAAGCGACAAAUGCCCUGCUUCCAGGAAAAGCCUCUAAGCAUCAGGUAACAUCAAAUCGUACCCCAAACCGACACAGGUGGUCAGGUAGAGAAUACCAAGGCGCUUGAGAGAACUCGGGUGAAGGAACUAGGCAAAAUGGUGCCGUAACUUCGGGAGAAGGCACGCUGAUAUGUAGGUGAAGCGACUUGCUCGUGGAGCUGAAAUCAGUCGAAGAUACCAGCUGGCUGCAACUGUUUAUUAAAAACACAGCACUGUGCAAACACGAAAGUGGACGUAUACGGUGUGACGCCUGCCCGGUGCCGGAAGGUUAAUUGAUGGGGUUAGCGGUAACGCGAAGCUCUUGAUCGAAGCCGCCGGUAAACGGCGGCCGUAACUAUAACGGUCCUAAGGUAGCGAAAUUCCUUGUCGGGUAAGUUCCGACCUGCACGAAUGGCGUAAUGAUGGCCAGGCUGUCUCCACCCGAGACUCAGUGAAAUUGAACUCGCUGUGAAGAUGCAGUGUACCCGCGGCAAGACGGAAAGACCCCGUGAACCUUUACUAUAGCUUGACACUGAACAUUGAGCCUUGAUGUGUAGGAUAGGUGGGAGGCUUUGAAGUGUGGACGCCAGUCUGCAUGGAGCCGACCUUGAAAUACCACCCUUUAAUGUUUGAUGUUCUAACGUUGGCCCGUAAUCCGGGUUGUGGACAGUGUCUGGUGGGUAGUUUGACUGGGGCGGUCUCCUCCUAAAGAGUAACGGAGGAGCACGAAGGUUGGCUAAUCCUGGUCGGACAUCAGGAGGUUAGUGCAAUGGCAUAAGCCAGCUUGACUGCGAGCGUGACGGCGCGAGCAGGUGCGAAAGCAGGUCAUAGUGAUCCGGUGGUUCUGAAUGGAAGGGCCAUCGCUCAACGGAUAAAAGGUACUCCGGGGAUAACAGGCUGAUACCGCCCAAGAGUUCAUAUCGACGGCGGUGUUUGGCACCUCGAUGUCGGCUCAUCACAUCCUGGGGCUGAAGUAGGUCCCAAGGGUAUGGCUGUUCGCCAUUUAAAGUGGUACGCGAGCUGGGUUUAGAACGUCGUGAGACAGUUCGGUCCCUAUCUGCCGUGGGCGCUGGAGAACUGAGGGGGGCUGCUCCUAGUACGAGAGGACCGGAGUGGACGCAUCACUGGUGUUCGGGUUGUCAUGCCAAUGGCACUGCCCGGUAGCUAAAUGCGGAAGAGAUAAGUGCUGAAAGCAUCUAAGCACGAAACUUGCCCCGAGAUGAGUUCUCCCUGACUCCUUGAGGGUCCUGAAGGAACGUUGAAGACGACGACGUUGAUAGGCCGGGUGUGUAAGCGCAGCGAUGCGUUGAGCUAACCGGUACUAAUGAACCGUGAGGCUUAACCUU
rnacentral:rRNA from 2 species